rnacentral:rRNA from 1 species
GAUGAACGCUGGCGGCGUGCCUAAUACAUGCAAGUCGAGCGAACGGACGAGAAGCUUGCUUCUCUGAUGUUAGCGGCGGACGGGUGAGUAACACGUGGAUAACCUACCUAUAAGACUGGGAUAACUUCGGGAAACCGGAGCUAAUACCGGAUAAUAUUUUGAACCGCAUGGUUCAACAGUGAAAGACGUUCUUGCUGUCACUUAUAGAUGGAUCCUCGCUGCAUUAGCUAGUUGGUAAGGUAACGGCUUACCAAGGCAACGAUGCAUAGCCGACCUGAGAGGGUGAUCAGCCACACUGGAACUGAGACACGGUCCAGACUCCUACGGGAGGCAGCAGUAGGGAAUCUUCCGCAAUGGGCGAAAGCCUGACGGAGCAACGCCGCGUGAGUGAUGAAGGUCUUCGGAUCGUAAAACUCUGUUAUUAGGGAAGAACAUAUGUGUAAGUAACUGUGCACAUCUUGACGGUACCUAAUCAGAAAGCCACGGCUAACUACGUG